AGUUUCAAGUCUUCCUGUCUCCAAAGCAGUGAGUUCUUCUCUCCAAAUAAAACCCUAACUUUCUGCUCUUGUCUUUCUUCUUGAGUUGAGCUGAUCUGAUAAACAAUGUCAUUUCCUUCCGUUAGAAAUACAGUAUCUCAUCUGAUAAGGAAUCUCAGUGAACAUUCUUCAAAAACCCAGGAUUUAUCUCUUCUUCUGCUUCUUUCAAUUAGGGCUAGAUCCAUCACCUCUUCCUCCAGAUAUUGCUCCCAAAAUCACAGCUCUUCUUCUUCUUCUUCUUCUUUUGUUGUUUCUUAUCUCAUCAAUUCAUGUGGGCUAGCAGAAAAUGAAGCAAUCUCUGCUUCCAAAAAAGUCCAUUUUAUGACCACAUCAAAGCCAGACUCAGUUGUAUCCCUACUCGAGAGCUACGGAUUCACUAAACGUUACAUGUGCAAACUUAUCACCAAGAGACCAUCACUACUCUCAUCCGUUGCUGAGGGAGUACAUCCACUGAGACAAAAAUGAAUAUGUUUAGGGGAUUGGGUUGGUCUGAAGACAAAAUUCUUAACGCUUUUAAGAAACAUCCUCAGUGUAUGAUUACUUCUAAAAAUAAAGUAUUGGCGAUAAAUGAUUUCCUUGUGAACCAAAUGGGUUAUACUUCAUCGAUUAUUGCGGCAUGCCCAUCAAUCUUUUGUUAUAGCUUGGAGAAGAGGAUUAAACCAAGGUGUUCUGUUUACCGAAUUUUAAUCUCCAACAAUCUGAUUAAAAAAGAAACCCCUAACAUCACUUUUGAUAAUGCCUGAGAAGUUGUUCUUGAAGAAGUAUAUGAUCAAGUUUGAGCAGGAAGCUCCAGAACUAAUGAAGGCAUACCCAAGGUCUGUUUAACUUUGAGUAACAUGAUUGCUGUCCGUCUCUCAAUUUCGGUUGUUUUAUUAUAGUUGUAUGACUAAUGGAAUAAAGAUGACAUGUUGAUCUGUAUAUAAAGAGUAAAUCUAGGUUACAAAGUAUAUUUAUGAGAGUAUGAAUGAAUGAAUCAUCAGUAGUCUAUUAGCAUUCCCACUCAUUACAUGUCUCUAAAUAUUUCUAGCAGCAGAUCUAUUGUACCUAUUUACUCUCUUGAUUUUUCUCAA